rnacentral:rRNA from 1 species
CGCUUAAUACAUGCAAGUCGAACGGUGAGCGGGGCUUCGGCCCUGGGAUCAGUGGCGAACGGGUGCGUAACACGUGGGCAACCUGCCCCUCACUCUGGGAUAACCCCGGGAAACCGGAGCCAAUACCGGAUACUCUCGACCGACCGCAUGCUCGGUUGAGGAAAGGUCCGCUGGUGAGGGAUGGGCCCGCGGCCUAUCAGCUUGUUGGUGGGGUAACGGCCUACCAAGGCGUCGACGGGUAGCUGGUCUGAGAGGACGACCAGCCACACUGGGACUGAGAUACGGCCCAGACUCCUACGGGAGGCAGCAGUAGGGAAUCUUGCGCAAUGGGCGAAAGCCUGACGCAGCGACGCCGCGUGGGGGACGAAGGCCCUCGGGUUGUAAACCCCUUUCGGCAGGGACGAAGCGCAAGUGACGGUACCUGGAGAAGAAGCGCCGGCCAACUACGUGCCAGCAGCCGCGGUAAGACGUAGGGCGCGAGCGUUGUCCGGAUUUAUUGGGCGUAAAGAGCUCGUAGGCGGCUCGUUGCGUCGGCUGUGAAAACCCGCAGCUCAACUGUGGGCUUGCAGCCGAUACGGGCGGGCUAGGAUUCGGUAGGGGAGACUGGAAUUCCUGGUGUAGCGGUGAAAUGCGCAGAUAUCAGGAGGAACACCGGUGGCGAAGGCGGGUCUCUGGGCCGAUAUCGACGCUGAGGAGCGAAAGCGUGGGGAGCGAACAGGAUUAGAUACCCUGGUAGUCCACGCUGUAAACGUUGGGCGCUAGGUGUGGGGGGCCUCUCCGGUUCUCUGUGCCGCAGCUAACGCAUUAAGCGCCCCGCCUGGGGAGUACGGCCGCAAGGCUAAAACUCAAAGGAAUUGACGGGGGCCCGCACAAGCGGCGGAGCAUGCGGAUUAAUUCGAUGCAACGCGAAGAACCUUACCUGGGUUUGACAUGGCCGCAAAACUGUCAGAGAUGGCAGGUCCUUCGGGGGCGGUCACAGGUGGUGCAUGGCUGUCGUCAGCUCGUGUCGUGAGAUGUUGGGUUAAGUCCCGCAACGAGCGCAACCCUCGUUCGAUGUUGCCAGCGGGUUAUGCCGGGGACUCAUCGAAGACUGCCGGGGUCAACUCGGAGGAAGGUGGGGAUGACGUCAAGUCAUCAUGCCCCUUAUGUCCAGGGCUUCACGCAUGCUACAAUGGCCGGUACAAAGGGCUGCGAUACCGUGAGGUGGAGCGAAUCCCAAAAAGCCGGUCUCAGUUCGGAUCGGGGUCUGCAACUCGACCCCGUGAAGUCGGAGUCGCUAGUAAUCGCAGAUCAGCAACGCUGCGGUGAAACGUUCCCGGGCAUGUACUC